rnacentral:rRNA from 1 species
CGCGUAGGCGGAUUGGAAAGUUGGGGGUGAAAUCCCAGGGCUCAACCCUGGAACGGCCUCCAAAACUCCCAGUCUUGAGUUCGAGAGAGGUGAGUGGAAUUCCGAGUGUAGAGGUGAAAUUCGUAGAUAUUCGGAGGAACACCAGUGGCGAAGGCGGCUCACUGGCUCGAUACUGACGCUGAGGUGCGAAAGUGUGGGGAGCAAACA